UACCAGGCUUGGUCUAAGAUAAUAGCAUGGGGAAGGGGAAGGAGAUUGGCUUGACUGGCCCACAAAUAGCUCUUCCUAAUGGAGUCUGAUCCUCAGUUAUCUAUUGCUUUUUUUUCUCCACCAAUUAUAGCUGUGUGAAGUACUCCCCUUUUUAUGUUGGAGUGCCCAACAGGUUAUGCCAAUGUAUACUUCAACAUGUGUUUGGAUCCACCAAGGUAUGGGGGCCCCAGGUGGGAUGAAAAACUUUUUUCUGAAUGCAAACAUAUGCACCUUGGCUGGGAACGGCAGGAGGAAGCCAAGAAUUGAUGCUGCACCGGAAUGCAGUUGAGACAGAGUACAAGAACACAGUCAUUGAAAAGAGUAUAUCUGUGUAUGAAAGGUGGAGAUAUUCACUAGACACAACCUUGCCUUCUGGGAUUAGCAGUGUGUGUGAAAGAAGGAGUGCCUGCACUAUGUCUUGUCGAGCUGUCUUUGAGUGUUGUUUCGUGUGUUUUUGGUGUUUUCUAUGUAGACCACCUGUACCACCGGAGGAAGCCUCAUGAAUCACCAUAGCCAAAAGCAUGGGAUACAUAUUGCAGACAGUGGCUGGGAGUUGGUUAGAAUCCAGCUUCCUCAGCUGCAUUGACGAAGCAGGAAACUUGGGAUCCUGCAUACUACAUACACCUCUAGCCCCUCUGGAAUGGAUUUGCACAUGGGCCCAUGUGGCAGGGUUUCUUGGAGGAGGUAUGUAAAGAUCUUCCGCCUUGGCUGAAGACAAUCUGAGAGGAAGUGGCUUGGGACAAUGUGAGGAAUUUUUGAUAACACUUAGAAAUUGCAUCUUUUGCACAGCUGGUAGAGUAAUCACUUGAGAAUGCUAGUGAUUCUAGAAGUUGCUGAUGCUUCAAUGGUUUGUCCCUGUGAAUUUAUGUUCUUAAGCUAUCUCCAUGGAAAAGCCCUAUAGAAUUGAAUGGAGAAUUCUAUCUGUGCUGUAGAACUGAUUAAACAUAACCUUCAGGAAGGACCUCACUAUCCAUUGAAAUCUAUAGGAUUUCAAAAGUGGUUUCUAUAGCCCCUACCGAUUUCUGCCCCAAUACAUUCCAUAGGACUUUUCCACAAGUGGCCCCUUAGCAGGACAUUCUUGAAAGUUCCAUAACGCAAAACACUCCUGACCCUCUCCGGUGUUGAACAGAGGCUGCCUCUUCCAGCUGGUGAGAAAUACUAAGGAAGAGAAAG